rnacentral:tRNA from 1 species
GCAAGCAUAGUUUCAAACCAAACGUCAGACCGUGACUCUGAAAAUAGAAGUUAAAUCCUUCUUGCCUGCC